rnacentral:rRNA from 1 species
UACGGAGGGUGCGAGCGUUGUCCGGAAUCACUGGGCGUAAAGGGCGCGUAGGCGGCCUGAUAAGUAGGGGGUGAAAUCCUGCGGCUUAACCGCAGGGCUGCCUUCUAAACUGUCAGGCUAGAGCACAGUAGAGGCAGGUGGAAUUCCCGGUGUAGCGGUGGAAUGCGUUGAUAUCGGAAGGAACUCCGGCGGCGAAAGCGAUGCACUGGCUGAUUUCUGACGCUGAGGUGCGAAAGCCAGGGGCGCAAACGGG